UACAGAGGGUGCGAGCGUUGUCCGGAAUCACUGGGCGUAAAGGGCGCGUAGGUGGCCUGGUAAGUAGGGGGUGAAAUCUCGCGGCUCAACCGCGAGGCUGCCUCCUAAACUGUCGGGCUCGAGCAGAGUAGAGGCAGGUGGAAUUCCCGGUGUAGCGGUGGAAUGCGUAGAGAUCCGGAAGAACACCGGUGGCGAAGGCGGCCUGCUGGGCAGUAGCUGACGCUGAGGCGCGACAGCGUGGGGAGCAAACAGG
rnacentral:rRNA from 1 species